rnacentral:tRNA from 1 species
GGGUCCAUAGCACAAUGGUAGAGCACUCGGCUUUUAACCGAUAGGUUGUGGGUUCGAGUCCCACUGGACCCA